rnacentral:rRNA from 1 species
AUGUUCGAGCUGUCAGUGUGGUACAGGAGCAGCAGCCACCAUCGCUGUCAAGUAGCUCCAGCAAUCACGUGCUCACUCUUGCUUCACAGACUAUGUAUGAAAAUUGGAGGUUUUAGGAUCUUUGGAAGUUUUUUGAGGCAUCACCCUUCUUGUCCGCAGUUAAAAGGUUUGACGCAGUACAGUGCGGGGGAGGCGGUGUCCUCUGCAGCUAGGUCUACUUGCUGGCGACCUCACCAUCACCAACCCAUCUACAGAUCCAGAAGCUCACGCAUGGAGGACAUGGACAUUGGUAUCGUCUGUGACGAGGGUUCCCCAGGAUCAAUAGCGUCAAGGACAGGAACGCCUGUGCCCAAUGAUAAUGACUACCUGAUAGUGAUUCCUUAUGCUCACAUCUUUGGCCUCAUGCUGCAAGCUCUAAAGCUGCCCCCUGCAACUUACCAGCACAAAAUAUACCCAGGCGGAAAGAAUCGUGUGACAGUGACUUUCAUUUCUACUUUGGAAUUGCUAGAUGGUUCACUUGUCCCGAGUUCUAUACCAGGUGCAAUCUUAGAUAGCUAUGAAGAUGCAGAAGACUGCUGCUAUGGAGGCUAUUACAUUCAUGGAGAAUGCAUAUGGCAAAGAAAUGAGGGGCUACCACUACACCCAUGUCAAGAGGCUAGAAAAUCAAGUGACGCACCUGGUCAAAUGGUUGACUUCAUCCAAUGA